GUUUCUUCAAAAAAAAAGUAAUUGUUGAAUAUUUAUUAUAAGGGCAUAAAAAUAAAACAAUGAACCAACUAAAUUUUAUAAAUAGUAAGUAGCCUAUAUAUUGCGACAUCUCAAAAUGGAAAAUCAGCCUAUAACUAUAGGACGGAGGGAGUAUAACAUAUGACCCCAUCAUAGUUAUGCAUGUAUUCUCCAAAUCUUAAUGUGUACAUACAAUCACAUAAAGUAUUUAAAUUAAUCACUUACCGAAAAAAGAAUUAGCCCGAGAUUUGUUUUUCUCUUCUGUUUCUCUCAGUUACUACUUCUCCCUCUCUCUCUUUAUCCCGGUUAAGCGGCAGCCUCUUCCCCUUUUUUUAUAUAAGAUGAAUAAUGGUUUGAGUACAUUAUAGGGUUUAUGUUUUAGUCAUUUAAAUACAUUUUAUUGACUCUCAUAAUUUUAAUAGGAUUAAAUAGUAUAAAAUGUUGUAACUCGUUUCAUAGUUUGAUACAAAAAAAUAAUAUUACCGCUUGAAUCGAAUGGUUGAUCACUCUUUUCUUAAGACUAUAUUCGCUCUUUAUUUUUGUUACACAAUGUUAUUACGAAUUAGUCUCCCAAGAUAAGACAAAAUCUCCCAAGAUAAGACAACCAUAUUUUACUUUGUACUAGAAUUUAUUGUGUAGAAACAAAUAUAGUGCAAAACUAUAAAUGAGAGGAGAAAAUUAUAGCAACAAAAAAUAUUAGAAUGGUAUUUUUUCUAAAAACUUGAGAAGGAUUUGGAAUAAUUUUUAAGUACCAAACUUGGGUGGAUUUACAAUCUAUUUAUAGAUUUCCAUGUACCCUUUUGAAAAGAUACAUAUCCUUUUGAAGAGAUGCAUCCCUUUGAAAAUAUAUUUUAAAUAUUAGAGAUAUAUUCCUUUGAAAUGAUAUGUUGAACCAUUGUAAUGAAACAUCAACUAGUAGUGAGAGUUUACUUCAUUCUUGGGCUGACACUUUGACCUUUGUAACCAGCAGAACAGUCUAUGCACUCAAAACUCUAUAAGAGACUAGUUCUUACUUAUAGAAAACUAAGUUCAAAGUGAAUGAAUGCUAAAGGGAGAAGAGUAAUAAUACUCACCAAAGCAAUUGAGAGAGAGAGAGAGAGAGAGAGAGAGAGAGUUCUUUGCUUUGGUGCUGACUUAACUUUUAUUCUAGAACAGUUCCCUGUAAGAGUCGUAACAAGUCAGAAGAACUGGGAUAUAGGUUUGCUCAAUAAAAAUAUCUGAUUCGUCUUAAAAAUUUAAUCAAUUAAAUAGAAAACUCAACUCUAAUCAGUAUCAACUUUCAAAGCAUAAAAAGUCAUAAACCAUUGAAACAUCAUCCAUCUGAAGCUACAAAUUUUCUUUUCGAUAUCAUUUAUUUAUUUAGAGAGAGUAACCAUGCAUAAUCUUACAUAAAAUUUAAUUCAGAAGAACAGGUAAAAGAUAUGAGAUGAUACAACUAAAUGAAGACUGAAGCUAAUAAAAUCAUUACCAUUUCUCAACUGUAAAGCUCGGGCAUCAAUAACUCUAGUCGGGAUAAAACUUGUCUUUCUUCAGGCAUUUUAUCAAACAGGUAACAGCAUAAUAAUGUUAUAUAUAUAUUUUUGAAGAAAGAAAGAGGAAAUUCAUAAAUACGUUUCUUAUUUCACAUGUUGCAGUGUAUAUUAAUUAUAGCACAAAAUUUACCCCUAUUUUAAUUUUAGAGCGAAAAAAAAUGGCAAAACUAUGAAUAAAAAUAGAAAAAAAAAGUUUUAAAUUUAUCUCACAAAAUUAUAUAAAGUGAUAAAUAUUUUUUUUAUACAAAAUUACUCCAUUGAAAAGAUGGAUGGAGUUGGACCAUACCAUAAAUACAUAUAAGAAACAAAAAUAUGUUCAGCAAGAAUUACCAGUUUAAGCUAAAAGAGUAGUUAGAGUUGGGAUGUCUUCUUCUCUGCCAAUUUCAAUAUUGAAAUUAAACUCUGGCUCUGAUUUUGUGGGUUUUUCCCCCAAGUCUUCUUCUGUUUACCUUUUAUCUCUUGUUUCUUCAGUUUGUUAUUUUGUCUACAUUUGUAUCAAAGUAUCCAUCUCAUCAUAUAUAUGUGCUUGGACAACUUAUAGUGAUAAAACCCAUAUAUCAUUUUAUAUACUCC
rnacentral:lncRNA from 1 species